GUGGGCGUAGCUCAGCUGGAUAGAGCAUCGGUUUUCUAAACCGAGGGUCCCGGGUUCGAGUCCCGGCGCCCAUA
rnacentral:tRNA from 1 species